AAGAGACAGCAGCCGCCACGGGAAUACGAAGGGGGCUAGCGUUGUUCGGAAUUACUGGGCGUAAAGCGCACGUAGGCGGAUUUUUAAGUCAGGGGUGAAAUCCCGAGGCUCAACCUCGGAACUGCCUUUGAUACUGGAGAUCUUGAGUUCGGAAGAGGUUGGUGGAACAGCUAGUGUAGAGGUGAAAUUCGUAGAUAUUAGCUAGAACACCAGUGGCGAAGGCGGCCAACUGGUCCGAUACUGACGCUGAGGUGCGAAAGCGUGGGGAGCAAACAGGAUUAGAUACCCCAGUAGUCCCUGUCUCUUAUAC
rnacentral:rRNA from 1 species